rnacentral:rRNA from 1 species
CUACGGGGCGCAGCAGUGGGGAAUCUUGCACAAUGGAGGAAACUCUGAUGCAGCGAUGCCGCGUGAGUGAAGAAGGCCCUUGGGUUGUAAAGCUCUUUUGUCGGGAAAGAUAAUGACUGUACCCGAAGAAUAAGGUCCGGCUAACUUCGUGCCAGCAGCCGCGGUAAUACGAAGGGACCUAGCGUAAUUCGGAAUUACUGGGCGUAAAGCGCGCGUAGGCGGUUAAGUAAGUUAAUUGUGAAAGCCCAAAGCUCAACUUUGGAAUUGCAAUUAAAACUACUUAGCUAGAGUUUAUCAGAGGAAAGCGGAAUACAUAGUGUAGAGGUGAAAUUCGUAGAUAUUAUGUAGAACACCAGUUGCGAAGGCGGCUUUCUGGGAUAACACUGACGCUGAGGUGCGAAAGUAUGGGUAGCGAAGAGGAUUAGAUACCCCGGUAGUC